GAUGAAGAACGUAGCGAAAUGCGAUAAGUAAUGUGAAUUGCAGAAUUCAGUGAAUCAUCGAAUCUUUGAACGCACAUUGCGCCCAUUAGUAUUCUAGUGGGCAUGCCUGUUCGAGCGUCAUUAAGUCCACUUAAGCCCUGCUUAGUGUUGGGAGACUGCUCCAGCGGUGCUACCCUGUAGCUACCCUGCAGCUCCUCAAAGACAGCGGCGGAGUUGUGGUAUCCUCUGAGCUUAGUAACUUGUUCUAGCUUUCNNNNNCACCACUUCCCCUGCCGUAAAACCCUUAAUUUUUAAUGGUUGACCUCGGAUCAGGUAGGAAUACCCGCUGAACUUAAGCAUAUCAAUAAGCGGAGG
rnacentral:misc_RNA from 1 species